AAAAGCUCCGGCAGUAUAGGAUGGUCCCGCGUCUGAUUAGCUGGUUGGCGGGGUAACGGCCCACCAAGGCGACGAUCAGUAGCCGGCUUGAGAGAGUGGACGGCCACAUUGGGACUGAGACACGGCCCAAACUCCUACGGGAGGCAGCAGUGGGGAAUAUUGCACAAUGGGGGAAACCCUGAUGCAGCGACGCCGCGUGAGUGAAGAAGUAUUUCGGUAUGUAAAGCUCUAUCAGCAGGGAAGAAAAAAGACGGUACCUGACUAAGAAGCCCCGGCUAACUACGUGCCAGCAGCCGCGGUAAUACGUAGGGGGCAAGCGUUAUCCGGAAUUACUGGGUGUAAAGGGUGCGUAGGUGGCAUGGUAAGUCAGAAGUGAAAGCCCGGGGCUUAACCCCGGGACUGCUUUUGAAACUGUCAUGCUGGAGUGCAGGAGAGGUAAGCGGAAUUCCUAGUGUAGCGGUGAAAUGCGUAGAUAUUAGGAGGAACACCAGUGGCGAAGGCGGCUUACUGGACUGUCACUGACACUGAUGCACGAAAGCGUGGGGAGCAAACAGGAUUAGAUACCCUGGUAGUCCACGCCGUAAACG
rnacentral:rRNA from 1 species